rnacentral:rRNA from 4 species
AAAUUGAAGAGUUUGAUCAUGGCUCAGAUUGAACGCUGGCGGCAGGCCUAACACAUGCAAGUCGAACGGUAACAGGAAGCAGCUUGCUGCUUUGCUGACGAGUGGCGGACGGGUGAGUAAUGUCUGGGAAACUGCCUGAUGGAGGGGGAUAACUACUGGAAACGGUGGCUAAUACCGCAUAACGUCGCAAGACCAAAGAGGGGGACCUUCGGGCCUCUUGCCAUCAGAUGUGCCCAGAUGGGAUUAGCUUGUUGGUGAGGUAACGGCUCACCAAGGCGACGAUCCCUAGCUGGUCU